GAGGCAGAAGUUGGAGUGACAGCACAGUCCUGGGACUGGUUUGGGAGCUGCCAAACCCAGACCACAGGGCGGAGCAGUCUGUCCUGCCAAGCAGCCAAAUCUGCCACUUACCAAACCGGAGAUGCCAAAUGCCCAGAGCCCAGGGCUGGACCCACAAAUAUGGCCUUUUAGCCUCAGUGGGAACUGGGGGGCCUCUGGGCCGUCUCACCUGAAAGGCCAGCCAGCAUAGCUGCUUGUCCCUAGGGGUGGGUGGAAGGAGGUUUGGGAUUUGCCCAGGGUGUGGUCUGGGUCUACGGGGAAACAGGAAGACAAGAAAAGGGAGCCCUUCCCGUCCUCGGAGGGCUCGGCCAGCUCACAGUGUCUGGUGGGCAGGCGGCUGUGGGCCUGCCCACUCUGGAGGAGGCCAGAUCCACACAGGAGCCCCACGUGGCCAGAGCCCAGGAGCGAACAACCCCGUGUCCCAGAUCUGCCCGGGCACCCAAGUUGCGUUGAGCCUCACCUUUCCUGAAAAUCGGACAGACCCCACCCCACCCCGGCCACAGCAGGGCCCAGCUGUCUGCAGACACACACGCAGGUGAACCGCAGGUGAGGACUGCUGGUUCCCCUGCACCUUUGCUGAUAACAGUCCAUCAGGUCUCUUGCCAAGGGACACAGGACAGGGCUCACAAAAGGGAGAGCCGGGCUUUGAACCGAGGGUGGGGGUUAGCCACUCUGCCGCUGGGCACAGGCCGGGUGGCUGAUCCAGGUGUGGGAAGCCGGGUGUCAGCCGUCCACGUCUGACGUAGGGAGGCUGCUGGACCCUGCGUGGCCACCACUGUGAGCAGGUCUGCGGGCGCCCGUGCAGGACCAGGGAGUUCCAGGAGUGGGAGGAUGGAUGCCAGCCCCUUCUGUCCACCACAUGGCUCCGGAGCUCCAGGGUGGGGGGGGGCAAGGCCAAGGGCAGCAGGAGCUGCAGCGGCUGUGUCCCAGGUUGGAGGUGCCACCCCUCGGCUGAAAGGGAGGAGCUCAGCCUUUCUGCUGAUUUGCUGAGGAGGCAACACAAAGAUGCCGUCUUCAAACUGCCGGGAAGGAAAACUCACUCUCACGUGCCGGCCUCCGGGGACAGGGGUCACUGGUCCUCUGGCGCCGGAAGCAGGAAGAGCCGAGGGGCACGGGAAGCGGGGCUGGAGAAGGAGCGCUCCGACCCGCCCGCCCUCGUGCAUCGGCCUUGGCCUGCCGCUGAGGGAUGAGUGAAUCUGGGGGCGCGUCCAGCAGGUAAGGGGGGGCGGGGGGCUCUGUGGGGACUCCUGGGGCUGGGAGGCCUGCCCAUUCCAGAGCUGGGGGCCUGGGAUGGGCACAGACACCCCACUCAGUCCAGCGGUGUGGGUGUGGCCCCCACUGUUCUCCCAAGUCCAGUGAAGAUGAUGGUUCCUAGUAACGGACAGAGAUGGGCUGGUACCAGGCAGGAUCCCAUCAAGCCCAGCGUUUCCCAGCCCACUUUCCACCAUCACCUUCCUAAGGACACCUUUUAAAACUAAUCCCACGUCCCCCGUGAAAUUAAAUACUGAGGCCUGCAAUUUUGGUGGGUAGCAGCUCGCUUUGAGCUUUGAAUGGACACAAAUCACUAUUAACAGCUGAGACUUUUUUCAUGCCCUCCUCCCAGAACUAUUUUUAGCCCCUCGGGGUGACCAUGGGGGACAGAUGGUCUCGUCAGCGCAUCAGUGUUGCACGUGGCGCCCUUCAUUGUUAGCGCUCCGUGCGGGCCCCUGGGCUGGUCCCCUCGGCAGAAUCCCCUUCGUUCUAGUCCGAGCCCCGAAAUGCUCAUUCCAGUGGGGGUGGCAGAGGAGGGGGGUCAGGAGUGCGGGUUCCAGCCUCCCAACCCAGGGCGCGCCUGCCUUGAAGGGGGCAGAGAAGCCCUUUGACAGAGCAGGAAGAUUGGUCCCCGGAGUGCAGCCCAGACUUAGGGAAUCGUUGGGGUGCAGAGGGGCUCCCAUUUCUCAGACACUCCCAGGAGGAAGCUGGAGAAGCCAUCGUUCCCUGCUGGGGACACUGUCCCCAUGGCCACCACCCAGGACCACGUUCCAGUGCAGGCUCCGAGCAGGUGGCCGUGGGAGCUGGUGCUGGAAGGGGAGGUGUCCUGGCCGGCGUGGGGCCGGUUUCCCAGCAGAGGACAGCUGUGUGGUGACCGAGCUGGACCCUCGCCCCCAGCUCAUGUCUCUCUGAGGUCCCAGCUUCAUGGCCACGCACGUGUACUUCCCACAAGAUGGGCAGGGUUCUGUAGCUGACGCAGCUGGUGCUGCACCUGUGUCCCCUCUCAUCUCACCACUGCCAAACAGACCGCCGGCUUCCAACCGCCAGUGUCGUGUCCCAUGACCAGAGGGCUUUCUCUUGAACACCCAACAGACGGGAAGCCCCCAGGGGCCGUUCUCAGCCAGUGAGCACUGAGGUUGGGCGCAUUAGUCCUCCAGCUCACCUGCCCUGCUGCGGGUCGGGGAGGUGCAGCUCGGAGCACAAGCUCCACGCUGUCUCCCGCGGCAGUGUCCCAAGGCUUUCCGCUUCAGCUCCCAGGGAGGUCAUUCUUCACCUUUUAUUGGCAGCCUUGGCAAUCCCUGCCUCUCAGAUGCCCAAGCGAGUGCUUCCAGGAUGCCUCCUGGGUAAAUCACCUGCACUUUCUGAGGUCCGAAGAUCUGCUUCUGGCGGCACCCACCCUUAGGCUCCCCUCCUGCCUGAGAUGCCACUGAUCUCAAUGGUUACCUGCUGCUUUGUGGGUCACACUCUUAGAGCCAGGGUUGAUUUUUGGUCACCAUCUGCAGACAGGCAACAGAGAAUGGAGUCAGGGGAGGCUUCGCAGAGGAGGAGGGGCCACUUGGCCAAGGUCUUGAAGGAUAAAUAGGAGUUUGCCCAGGGCAGGGGAACCUCAGGAACACCACCACCUCCCCCACCUUAGCCCUGAGCUAUCUGCAGACUGCACUUGGACACAGCCGUGGCAUUCUGAAAGGCGAACCUGUAUAGCUCCGACUGGUCACUCAGCUCUGAAGCCUGCAAUGGCUCCCCAUUGCCUGCACCAGGUCCUAGCUUUCUGGCUUAUGGUCUGAAGUCCUCUGUAAACUGGCUCCACACCACAUCCACGCUGUCACCUCACUGCUGCUGCCCCUCCGCCCUCCCCAGUGAACCCAACCUGGCCAAACUGUGUCUGUCUUUCUGUGCCGUCCGUCAAACACCCUCUCCUCCAGGAAGCAUUUGGCAGUGGCCUCAGAGUCACGGCUCUCGUCUCUGUGCUGCUAGAGCACCAUUGCCAGACUCUAGGGCGCCUCCCAGCCCCGGACUGGGGUGAGUCACCAAUUUAGGUCAGACCAGAAGCUCCUCAAGGUCAAGACCCAUUGCGUGGGCUCCUCAUAUUCCACAGUCACAGCAGUAACAGUGUAACAACUUUGCUGGAACCUUUCAAAGUCCCCAUAUGUCUGUCCUCUGACCUUGUAUAGAGAACCAUCUUCACCCACACAGGCUGGUGGAUGGACCUGAACGGGCUCCCCUGCAGCCCCAGGGCUGGAUUCAUGAUUUGAUUUACUGUUUAUAAGGGAGAAAGUGGAGCUCAUGAAGGCUGCAGCCAUCCCAGUUUUUUUUGAGGGGUGGGUGGAGGGGGUGUUCAUGGCAUGCUGAAAUUCCUGGGCUACGGUUUGAAGCCACACCACAGCAGUGAUAAUGCCAGGUCCUUAACCACUGGGCCACCAGGGAACUCCCCCAGUGCUUUUUAAUUAAGCAAAAAAUGAGGAUCUGACUCCCUUAGAGAAGACCCUUCCCUCUUCCCCCAAAUGCCGCACUCUCAGAGGCGUGGACGGCCACGGUGCGGGUGGGGACAGAGGAGAGUGGGUGGGGCCUCUGCAACCCAAGUGUCCAGGGACAGAGCUCAUUCCCCCUGCCAGGGAACCUCGGACCCCAAUCAGAAGUUUUAACACGUUCCUUACUCGGAGCCUGACUUUGUUCUCAGCUGCCCACCCAUGUGGGCCCCAACAAGACCAGGCAGCAUUGUUGUCUGUGUGCUUAUGAGGCGGAUCCCCUGGAAGCGCAUACUCUAAAUGAGAUUACAUCUUAUACAUGUUUAAUGGACUGCUCUUGCCAUUUAAAAUGCGGGUCUAUUAAAAUAGCAGGGAGGGAAAAUUGACUCUCAGAGCUGGGUGUGGAGAGAAUAGAUCACUAGUGAAUGAAUAAUAUAUUCACAGAAUAAUGA